UGGCUCAGGACGAACGCUGGCGGCGUGCCUAAUACAUGCAAGUCGAACGGUCUUUCUAUGGAAGCUUGCUUCCACUGAGAAGAUAGUGGCGAACGGGUGAGUAACACGUGGGUAACCUGCCCAUAAGAGGGGGGAUAACAUCCGGAAACGGGUGCUAAUACCGCAUAGUUUUCUUGAUUGCAUGAUUGAGAAAGGAAAGACGGCCUUUGUGCUGUCGCUUAUGGAUGGACCCGCGGCGUAUUAGUUAGUUGGUGAGGUAACGGCUCACCAAGACGAUGAUACGUAGCCGACCUGAGAGGGUGAUCGGCCACAUUGGGACUGAGACACGGCCCAAACUCCUACGGGAGGCAGCAGUAGGGAAUCUUCCGCAAUGGACGAAAGUCUGACGGAGCAACGCCGCGUGAGUGAAAGAAGGUUUUCGGAUCGUAAAACUCUGUUGUCAGAGAAGAACAAGUUGGAGAGUAACUGCUCCAGCCUUGACGGUAUCUGACCAGAAAGCCACGGCUAACUACGUGCCAGCCGCCGC
rnacentral:rRNA from 1 species